rnacentral:rRNA from 1 species
CGACCCCAGGGCAGGCGAGAUUACCCGCUUAGUUUAAGCAUAUCAAUAAGCGGAGGAAAAGAAACUUACAAGGAUUCUCUUAGUAACGGCGAGCGAACAGGGAACAACCCAGCCUUAGAAUUGGGCAGCUCCGUCGUCCGAAUUGUAGUCUGGAGAAGCGUCCUCAGCGGCGGAUCACGCCCAAGUCCCCUUGAAGGGGGCGCCAGUGAGGGUGAGAGCCCCGUUGUGCCCGAACCCUGUCGCACCACGAGGCGCUGUCUACGAGUCGGGUUGUUUGGAAAUCCAGCCCAAAUCGGGCAGAGAAUGCCGUCCAAGGCUAAAUACGGGCGAGAGACCGAUAGCGAACAAGUACCGCGAGGGAAAGGUGCAAAGGACUUUGAAAAGAGAGUCAAAGAGUGCUUGAAAUUAUCGGGAGGGAAGCGGAUGGGGGCCGGCGAUGCACGGUCGGAUGUUACCUGUUACAGCAGAUGAGCAAUCCUUUGAAAAUAAUAAAAAUAGAUCACUCAUCUGUUGCACCAUGUAGUUUAUCUGUUGCAACCUAUAACCAACCUGUUGCAGAAAAUAAGUAAUCCAUUAGAAAUAAUAAAAACAUAUCACUUAUCUACUAAAAUAGAUCACUCAUCUUUUGCAAAAUGAGUUAUCUGUUGGAUCAGUAUUGUCACGCCCCAAAUCCUAUUAAGGCGGACUGGCACCCGUUGCCGGUAAGGCUCGGGAGAACCAACCUGUAGCGAUACAUUACCUAUGAACAUUAUAAGUUACUUUCAUACUAAACAUGCCCUCAAAAGAUAAAUAGGACUAGCAAGCCAAAAGAUAUUAUAUGACUAGGCCGUUGGAGCCACAAUGUCUACGGUACGAUACAUGACCAUACUAUACUUUACGUAGUCUACAAAGCCUCUAGACAAGAAACGUUAUCUUAUAAGGGUCGGGACAGGCCCCGCCUCAUGAUAAGAUACUAUACAAUGCAAAAAGAUAUGAUAAGACUCAAAGCCCCGAAGCAACCUGGAGCUCAGUGACUGCGGUUGAUAUCCUGUACUCUUACUAGGGAGGUUUAUUAGCUUCUGUACCUGCAGCAUGGAAUGCAGGUCCCCCAAGAGGGACGUCAGUACGAAAUAAUGUACUGAAUAUGUAAGGCAACAUGUACUAUAUAUGAGAUAAAAACUCAAAUGAAACCAUGUACUGCUGUAGGGUAAAAGACCACCUUUAUGAAUAUUGUGGAGUCAUGUAUCUUAUAACAAUUAUGUUACUUUACUCUUAUUACUUGAAUAAUCUGUGCACAGCAUGUAAUACAAAUGACCAGCUGAUCAGUGGUAAUUCUAUAUCAGGAUCGACCCAUGCUAGGCUUUCCUUUCACCCCUGGGAUACCCCCUGUAAUACUGGGAUUGACCCAUGCUAGGUGAUUCUUUCACCCCUGGGAUACCACCCAACAGAAGCAACUGUAUACAUAUAUCUUCUUAUUACUUUUGAGAUGAAUCUUUGGUGGUCGUAACAUUUGAGCUAUAAGACUAUAAGCAUGACAAAUGACAAGUAUGUGUCCAUGUAACAUCAUAUCAUAAUGAAAAGAGUGGGUUGUACAAUUAGUGAAACAUGUAGGACAUAAACAACGUAUGAACUUUAUUUAGCUAAAAAGAAGACUCAUAUGUCAUGGUACCCAAUGUAUGUAUGCAGCAGUGACAAUGCUCGAAUCUGGACACACAAGUACAUGUUAAAGAGUGGAGUGGUUAUGUCAAAGUUUGUAAAGAUCUCUAUGUGCCAAUGAAGACUUUGGAUUCCAUGCCAAAUAAUAAGAGAUCGAAUAGCCUUACAUACCUCGACAUAUCAACUUGUUUUUACGUCGAAAUGACUUCUUUUCUUCCAACUAUUUAUCUACAAUAUCAUGUUUUAAAGCUAGUAUUAGCAGCUAAUCAAUGCAUCUGGACAGCCCAAUCUCACAAGACACAACACUUUGGCAACAAACGUAUAACCAUCAACUCAAUGGUGUUAUUCCGACUUUCUCAAUUCUAACUGUAUUCAACCAGCAUAGAUUAUCAUAUACAUGAUGUAUACAGCCUAUAUUAGUUCUAUAACAUGCUGGCAACAGUCCAUAACUACAACACAUAACCAUUUUACAAAACGCUCAACUAAGAAGCACAACAUCUCGUCGUCUCCCUACAUUUCGUCGUUAACAAUUCAUACUUGUCCCAACUUUGAACCAGAUGCUCCCAACAUAUAUAUACAUCAAAUAAACCUUAACAUAGUCACAAAAUAGCUCAAAACGUAGGGGAAACGUGAAACAACAUCCCCCUCAACAAAACAGUCCAAUACCAGUUUGGAAGCACAUAAGAUCAUAUAAGGAUACUUGUUUCCAAAGAACUAGCAAAACAGUCCAGCAACCUUGGCAACCAUAUACACACUAUAACAUGUUAAUAACCUCAACUUUACAUCAUAUUAAAGUGAAAAAUCAGGGUAAAAAUCGUUCCAAAGCCAAGAAAACCAAACAACAACUUUCAGGACACAAGCUGUC